GAUGAAGAACGCAGUGAAAUGCGAUAAGUAGUGUGAAUUGCAGAAUUCAGUGAAUCAUCGAAUCUUUGAACGCACAUUGCGCCCGCCAGCAUUCUGGCGGGCAUGCCUGUUCGAGCGUCAUUUCAACCCUCGAGCCCCCCCGGGGGCCUCGGUGUUGGGGGACGGCACACCAGCCGCCCCCGAAAUGCAGUGGCGACCCCGCCGCAGCCUCCCCUGCGUAGUAGCACACACCUCGCACCGGAGCGCGGAGGCGGUCACGCCGUAAAACGCCCAACUUUCUUAGAGUUGACCUCGGAUCAGGUAGGAAUACCCGCUGAACUUAAGCAUAUCAAUAAGCGGAGGA
rnacentral:misc_RNA from 1 species